AAUACGUGGCACACGGCUCAGUAACACGUAGUCAACAUAACCAAUGGACGUGGAUAAACUCGGGAAACUGAGGCUAAACCGCGAUAGACCAAGAUACCUGGAAUGGUUUUUGAUCAAAAUCUAUAUGGCCUUUGGAUUGGACUGCGACCGAUCAGGCUGUUGGUGAGGUAAUGGCCCACCAAACCUGUAACCGGUACGGGCUCUGAGAGGAGGAGCCCGGAGAUGGGUACUGAGACAAGGACCCAGGCCCUAUGGGGCGCAGCAGGCGCGAAACCUCUGCAAUAGGCGAAAGCCUGACAGGGUUAUUCUGAGUGACUUUCGCUAAGAAAGUCUUUUGACAUCUCUAAAAAUGGUGUAGAAUAAGGGGUGGGCAAGUCUGGUGUCAGCCGCCGCGGCAAUACCAGCACCCCGAGUGGUCGGGACGAUUAUUGGGCCUAAAGCAUCCGUAGCCGGUUUUACAAGUCCUCCGUUAAAUCCAACUGCUUAACAGAUGGGCCGCGGAGGAUACUAUAAGACUAGGAGGCAGGAGAGGCAAGCGGUACUCAGUGGGUAGGGGUAAAAUCCGUUGAUCCAUUGAAGACCACCAGUGGCGAAGGCGGCUUGCCAGAAUGCGCUCGACGGUGAGGGAUGAAAGCUGGGGGAGCAAACCGGAUUAGAUACCCGGGUAGUCCCAGCUGUAAACGA
rnacentral:rRNA from 1 species